rnacentral:rRNA from 1 species
AGUAACGGCGAGUGAAGCGGCAACAGCUCAAAUUUGAAAUCUGGCGUCUUUGGCGUCCGAGUUGUAAUUUGCAGAGGGCGCUUUGGCAUUGGCAGCGGUCCAAGUUCCUUGGAACAGGACGUCACAGAGGGUGAGAAUCCCGUACGUGGUCGCUAGCCUUUACCGUGUAAAGCCCCUUCGACGAGUCGAGUUGUUUGGGAAUGCAGCUCUAAAUGGGAGGUAAAUUUCUUCUAAAGCUAAAUACUGGCCAGAGACCGAUAGCGCACAAGUAGAGUGAUCGAAAGAUGAAAAGCACUUUGGAAAGAGAGUUAAAAAGCACGUGAAAUUGUUGAAAGGGAAGCGCUUGCAGCCAGACUUGCCUGUAGUUGCUCAUCCGGGUUUUUACCCGGUGCACUCUUCUAUAGGCAGGCCAGCAUCAGUUUGGGCGGUUGGAUAAAGGUCUCUGUCACGUACCUCCUCUCGGGGAGAACUUAUAGGGGAGACGUAAUGCAACCAGCCUGGACUGAGGUCCGCGCAUCUGCUAGGAUGCUGGCGUAAUGGCUGUAAGCGGCCCGUCUUGAAACACGGACCAAGGAGUCUAACAUCUAUGCGAGUGUUUGGGUGUCAAGCCCGAGCGCGUAAUGAAAGUGAACGGAGGUGGGAACCUUUCGGGGUGCACCAUCGACCGAUCCUGAUGUCUUCGGAUGGAUUUGAGUAAGAGCAUAGCUGUUGGGACCCGAAAGAUGGUGAACUAUGCUUGAAUAGGGUGAAGCCAGAGGAAACUCUGGUGGAGGCUCGCAGCGGUUCUGACGUGCAAAUCGAUCGUCAAAUUUGGGCAUAGGGGCGAAAGACUAAUCGAACUAUCUAGUAGCUGGUUCCUGCCCGAAGUUUCCCUCAGGAUAGCAGUAACGUUUUCAGUUUUAUGAGGUAAAGCGAAUGAUUAGAGGCCUGGGGGUUGAAACAACCUUCACCUAUUCUCAAACUUUAAAUAUGUAAGAAGUCCUUGUUACUUAAUUGAACGUGGACAGUUGAAUGUAUCGUUACUAGUGGGCCAUUUUUGGUAAGCAGAACUGGCGAUGCGGGAUGAACCGAACGCGGGGUUAAGGUGCCAGAAUAUACGCUCAUCAGACACCACAAAAGGUGUUAGUUCAUCUAGACAGCAGGACGGUGGCCAUGGAAGUCGGAAUCCGCUAAGGAGUGUGUAACAACUCACCUGCCGAAUGAACUAGCCCUGAAAAUGGAUGGCGCUCAAGCGUAUUACCCAUACCCCGCCGCUGGGGCAAGAUUUAAGCCCCAGCGAGUAGGCAGGCGUGGAGGUCCGUGACGAAGCCUG